AAUUUUUAGUACAUUGCCCUUUUCAGCAAUAAACACAUGAGUAUAACCAGCAACAACAAACCCGUCAAUCAAUUUUCAGAAUGGCUCUCAGAAACGUAUUCGAUUGCACGACGCUUAACUUGCUCUGCACCUUCAUCAUCACCGAUGUUUUUCUCGUAAGCUAGCCAUUUCUUGAACGCAAAUUUAGCUUUCUUUGUAGAAAGGUUUAACGCUAGUAAUCUUUGGAAUAGUCUACGCACAAUAGAUGGGUCAUCUUGCUUCAUCUCCAUAUCAAUAAGCACAUUCCAAAGGUCUAAACGUUUAGGAUAACUACUUAAAAGACCUUCAAAAAUUGUUCGUCCACGUUCUGGAUCACCAUUUUUAAAUUCAAGAAUGGCAAAUU